UACGGAGGGUGCAAGCGUUGUUCGGAAUUACUGGGCGUAAAGGGCGCGUAGGCGGUCUGUUAAGUUCGGUGUGAAAGCCCCCGGCUCACCUGGGGAACUGCGCCGGAAACCGACAGACUCGAGUACCGGAGAGGAAGGUGGAAUUCCUGGUGUAGCGGUGAAAUGCGUAGAUAUCAGGAGGAACACCGGUGGCGAAGGCGGCCCUCUGGACGGAUACUGACGCUGAGGCGCGAAAGCGUGGGGAUCAAACAGG
rnacentral:rRNA from 1 species